CUUGAUUGUAUGAGAUAUAAAGGUGAUUGGUUUUAGUUUAAGUGAAAGAUUGAAAGAAGAGUGUCCUAUAAGCCAAUCACAAGUGUAUUGCGAUGAAAUUUUUCUUUAUAAUUUUUUAACUCAUAAAAUGAUAUUUAUUAUUUGAGAUAUUAAUUUAUCAUAUUAGCUACAUCUUAUUAUGUCUAAGGUUAUAAUGAAUCUCAAAGAUUAGAACAAUAGUUUUAAGAGACAUAAAUGGGUCAUGCUAGUAAGACCUAAAAUCUUAAAAUUCUAAUCUUAAACAUUCCUGAUCGUAGGAGCAUUG
rnacentral:lncRNA from 1 species